rnacentral:rRNA from 1 species
ACGGGAGGCAGCAGUGGGGAAUAUUGCACAAUGGGCGCAAGCCUGAUGCAGCGAUGCCGCGUGAGGGAAGAAGGUUUUCGGAUUGUAAACCUCUGUCAACAGGGACGAAAAUGACGGUACCUGUGAAGGAAGCUCCGGCUAACUACGUGCCAGCAGCCGCGGUAAUACGUAGGGAGCGAGCGUUGUCCGGAUUUACUGGGUGUAAAGGGUGCGUAGGCGGGCUUGCAAGUCAGGCGUGAAAUACCGGGGCUUAACUCCGGGGCUGCGCUUGAAACUGUAAGUCUUGAGUGAAGUAGAGGCAGGCGGAAUUCCCAGUGUAGCGGUGAAAUGCGUAGAUAUUGGGAGGAACACCAGUGGCGAAGGCGGCCUGCUGGGCUUUAACUGACGCUGAGGCACGAAAGUAUGGGGAGCAAACAGGAUUAGAUACCCUGGUA